rnacentral:rRNA from 1 species
GGCACUCUAAGUUGACUGCCGGUGACAAACCGGAGGAAGGUGGGGAUGACGUCAAAUCAUCAUGCCCCUUAUGAUUUGGGCUACACACGUGCUACAAUGGACAAUACAAAGGGCAGCGAAACCGCGAGGUCAAGCAAAUCCCAUAAAGUUGUUCUCAGUUCGGAUUGUAGUCUGCAACUCGACUACAUGAAGCUGGAAUCGCUAGUAAUCGUAGAUCAGCAUGCUACGGUGAAUACGUUCCCGGGUCUUGUACACACCGCCCGUCACACCACGAGAGUUUGUAACACCCGAAGCCGGUGGAGUAACCUUUUAGGAGCUAGCCGUCGAAGGUGGGACAAAUGAUUGGGGUGAAGUCGUAACAAGGUAGCCGUAUCGGAAGGUGCGGCUGGAUCACCUCCUUU